GGCCUACCAAGACUUUGAUCAAUAGCUGAUCUGAGAGGAUGAUCAGCCACAUUGGGACUGAGACACGGCCCAAACUCCUACGGGAGGCAGCAGUAGGGAAUAUUGCACAAUGGAGGAAACUCUGAUGCAGCGAUGCCGCGUGAGUGAAGAAGGCCUUUGGGUUGUAAAGCUCUUUCGUCGGGGAAGAAAAUGACGGUACCCGAAUAAGAAGGUCCGGCUAACUUCGUGCCAGCAGCCGCGGUAAUACGAAGGGACCUAGCGUAGUUCGGAAUUACUGGGCUUAAAGAGUUCGUAGGUGGUUAAAAAAGUUGGUUGUGAAAUCCCGAAGCUUAACUUCGGAACUGCAAUCAAAACUUUUUAGCUAGAGUAUGAUAGAGGAAAGCAGAAUUUCUAGUGUAGAGGUGAAAUUCGUAGAUAUUAGAAAGAAUACCAAUUGCGAAGGCAGCUUUCUGGAUCAUUACUGACGCUGAGGAACGAAAGCAUGGGUAGCGAAGAGGAUUAGAUACCCUCGUAGUCCAUGCCGUAACGAUGUGUGUUAGACGUUGGAAAUUUAUUUUCAGUGUCGCAGCGAAAGCAGUAAACACACCGCCUGGGGAGUACGACCGCAAGGUUAAAACUCAAAUGAAUUGACGGGGACCCGCACAAGUAGUGGAGCAUGUGGUUUAAUUCGAAGAUACGCGCAGAACCUUACCAACACUUGACAUGUUCGUCGCGGCUCUAAGAGAUUAGAGCUUUCGGUUCGGCCGGACGAAACACAGGUGCUGCAUGGCUGUCGUCAGCUCGUGUCGUGAGAUGUUGGGUUAAGUCCCGCAACGAGCGCAACCCUCACUUUUAGUUGCCAUCAUUCAGUUGGGCACUCUGAAAGAACUGCCAGUGAUAAGCUGGAGGAAGGUGGGGAUGACGUCAAGUCCUCAUGGCCCUUACGUGUUGGGCUACACACGUGCUACAAUGGCAUUUACAAUAGGAAGCAAGAUGGCGACGUCAAGCAAAUCCUAAAAAGAUGCCUCAGUUCGGAUUGUACUCUGCAACUCGAGUACAUGAAGCUGGAAUUACUAGUAAUCGCGGAUCAGCGCGCCGCGGUGAAUACGUUCCCGGGUCUUGUACACACCGCCCGUCACACCAUGGGAGUUGGUUCUACCUAAGGCAAGGUUAA
rnacentral:rRNA from 1 species